rnacentral:rRNA from 1 species
AGCGCUUCGGAGACUUCGGUCAAUGUUUGCUUAUCUUUAGUGGCGGACGGGUGAGUAACGCGUGGAUAACCUGCCUCACACAGGGGGAUAACAGUUAGAAAUGACUGCUAAUACCGCAUAAGCGCACAGUCUCGCAUGGGACAGUGUGAAAAACCGAGGUGGUGUGAGAUGGAUCCGCGUCUGAUUAGCCAGUUGGCGGGGUAACGGCCCACCAAAGCGACGAUCAGUAGCCGGCCUGAGAGGGUGAACGGCCACAUUGGGACUGAGACACGGCCCAAACUCCUACGGGAGGCAGCAGUGGGGGAUAUUGCACAAUGGGGGAAACCCUGAUGCAGCGACGCCGCGUGAGUGAAGAAGUAUUUCGGUAUGUAAAGCUCUAUCAGCAGGGAAGAUAAUGACGGUACCUGACUAAGAAGCACCGGCUAAAUACGUGCCAGCAGCCGCGGUAAUACGUAUGGUGCAAGCGUUAUCCGGAUUUACUGGGUGUAAAGGGAGCGUAGACGGCAAAGCAAGUCUGAUGUGAAAGCUAUGGGCUCAACCCAUAAACUGCAUUGGAAACUGUUUAGCUAGAGUGUCGGAGAGGUAAGUGGAAUUCCUAGUGUAGCGGUGAAAUGCGUAGAUAUUAGGAGGAACACCGGUGGCGAAGGCGGCUUACUGGACGAUAACUGACGUUGAGGCUCGAAAGCGUGGGGAGCAAACAGG